GCCUUUGUGGUGUAACGGUUAGCACAUUCGGCUCGUAUUCGAGAGGUCUAGGUUCGAGUCUCGACGAGGGCA
rnacentral:tRNA from 1 species